GAUGAAGAACGUAGCGAAAUGCGAUAAGUAAUGUGAAUUGCAGAAUUCAGUGAAUCAUCGAAUCUUUGAACGCACAUUGCGCCCGCCGGCACUCCGGCGGGCAUGCCUGUCCGAGCGUCAUUUCAACCCUCAGGCCCGAACCCCCCCGGGGGGGGCGGGCCUGGUGUUGGGGCUCGGGGUCCGCGAGGCCCUCGUCCCCUAAAUCCAGUGGCGGUCGCGCCGCACCCUCCCCUGCGUAGUAGCACACCUCGCACCGGAGAGCAGCGCGUCCACGCCGUGAAACCCCCAACUUACCAAGGUUGACCUCGGAUCAGGUAGGAAUACCCGCUGAACUUAAGCAUAUCAAUAAGCGGAGGA
rnacentral:misc_RNA from 1 species